rnacentral:lncRNA from 1 species
CAUUUAGGCCAGUGGAAAGAUGCUGACAGCUUGCCACUAUUUCUAUGAGGUAGCUUUACCUGAGGAAGCAGAUGCAGCUAAAUGGCUCCUGCCCUCCCACUGCUCUUAAAGAUGGCAGCAUCAAGGACACGACAAAAGAGUGGAAAUCUAAUAGUUUUAAAUUAGGAGAAUGCUGAGCUGCUAUUAGGCAGCCACACCCCAUGCUUGCACAGCCUCCUCCUCAACUGCACCUGCCCUUCUUAAAGAAGCAAGGCAGUAUUAGCCCUUCCCGGUAAUACCUUGCCAGUCCUGUGCUGAUAAUGAGAGGCCUAAACAAUUAUUGAAAGGACAAAAUAUCUCAGCACACCUUUACAAAGCAUACAAGAAAUGAGAUAGUAAUGUCCCAGCUCUAGUUCACUGAACAACUCUAGUUACACCCUGUUCAAGACACAAACAUCAACACCAGCAUUGGUUGAACAGUUUUUUGAAUGUCCCAUUAAAUUUAGCUCCUUUCUUGGUUUGUAAGUCAUGCAUUAAAUGAUUCUGGCUUCCUUCUAGCACGGUAAUUGGAGACCAAUAUGACUUUCAAAUUAUGGGUGAAUUGCCAGCUCUUCUCUCCAGCUCUUUGCUAUCUGCAUUUUAGGUGACAGAUUCCCUAAGAAUACAUUAGUGUUACUACUCUUGGAAUUGAAGAGGGAGACAUUUGUAACUGGGGAGUAAUAAAUCUAGCCCAAGCUUUCAGAUGGAGAGUCAUUCACAUUAAGAUUCACUAAACUCUUUAGAAUUCAUUAUUAUUUCUCCACCAAAUACCCAGCAGGUUACAGGCAGUCGAACAACAAACUCCACCACAGUAACUUAUACCAUCUCAUAAACUAUAGAACUGCAGCUACCCCCUACACACACUUUUUUUCAUGGAAGUGGGGCAAAGAAAGGAGAUGAAUGGGGAAAAAGCACAAAAAAAAAAUAAAUGUCAGACUACUGGAAUAUUAUAGUGCCAUCAAUUGCUAAAGACUGGCUGCUUCCACUGCAUAAUGUUCUGAGGGCUGCUUGUUGGUGGUGGUCAUUUUUGUUGCUUUUCUGAACACUAAUACUUAAGAUGAGUUUAUGCCUUCCCAGAACACUUCAUUCAGCCCCAGUUUCAUUAAAUGCAGAAGACAAAUGCUGUUGACCCACUAACUAUAACUGGAGAACUUCAGCAAUAUUGCUGUCUAGCAGAUUUAUUCCUACCUGGCACUACUACUUAGAAACAGCCUUAAUAGCAGGCAGCUAAAUCAGCAGAGUGAAAUAUGGCAAACUUAAUGCAACAAACACAAGGACAGCAAGCCAACGUAGUGUUGCUGGGUGUAGCAGGGCCAUGACCGCAGUAAGUGCUUGUGAUGGAAGAGCAGGGCUGACAGAAAGCUUUCCAGUGAAGGCAAAGAACAGAACCAGAAGCAAUGAUACA